GCUGGUGUAGCGCAGUGGUAGCGCAACUGAUUCGUAAUCAGUAGGCCAUGAGUUCAAAUCUCAUCUCCAGCACCA
rnacentral:tRNA from 1 species